GCCGCGGUAGCUCAGUUGGUUAGAGCAGAGGCCUGAAGAGCCUUGUGUCGUCAGUUCGAAUCUGACCCGCGGCA
rnacentral:tRNA from 1 species